rnacentral:rRNA from 1 species
GAGUUGUAAUUUGUAGAAGAUGCUUUGGGUGUGAGCUCCGGUCUAAGUUCCUUGGAACAGGACGUCAUAGAGGGUGAGAAUCCCGUAUGUGACUGGGUGCUUUCGCCCGUGUAAAGCUCUUUCGACGAGUCGAGUUGUUUGGGAAUGCAGCUCAAAAUGGGUGGUAAAUUUCAUCUAAAGCUAAAUAUUGGCCAGAGACCGAUAGCGCACAAGUAGAGUGAUCGAAAGAUGAAAAGCACUUUGGAAAGAGAGUUAAACAGUACGUGAAAUUGUUGAAAGGGAAGCGCUUGCAACCAGACUCGCAUGCCGUCGAUCAUCCUGGGUUCUCCCUGGUGCACUCGGCGGCGUUCGGGCCAGCAUCGGUUUCGGUGGUGGGAUAAAGGCCUUGGGAAUGUAGCUUCUCUCGGGAAGUGUUAUAGCCCUCGGUGCAAUGCCACCUAUCGGGACCGAGGACCGCGCUUCGGCUAGGAUGCUGGCGUAAUGGUUGUAAGCGACCCGUCUUGAAACACGGACCAAGGAGUCUAACAUCUAUGCGAGUAUUUGGGUGUUAAACCCAUAUGCGUAAUGAAAGUGAACGGAGGUGAGAACCCUUAAGGGUGCAUCAUCGACCGAUCCUGAUGUCUUCGGAUGGAUUUGAGUAAGAGCAUAGCUGUUGGGACCCGAAAGAUGGUGAACUAUGCCUAAAUAGGGUGAAGCCAGAGGAAACUCUGGUGGAGGCUCGCAGCGGUUCUGACGUGCAAAUCGAUCGUCAAAUUUGGGUAUAGGGGCGAAAGACUAAUCGAACCAUCUAGUAGCUGGUUCCUGCCGAAGUUUCCCCUCAGGAA